rnacentral:rRNA from 1 species
UGGGGAAUAUUGCACAAUGGAGGGAACUCUGAUGCAGCGACGCCGCGUGAGUGAUGAAGGAAUUCGUUUCGUAAAACUCUGUUCUAUGGGAAGAAAAGGACUGUACCAUAAGAGAAAGCUCCGGCUAAAUACGUGCCAGCAGCCGCGGUAAUACGUAUGGAGCGAGCGUUGUCCGGAAUUAUUGGGCGUAAAGGGUGCGCAGGCGGCUUUACAAGUUGGAUGUGAAAUAUUGUGGCUCAACCACAAACGUGCAUCCAAAACUGCAAAGCUUGAGUUAAGGAGAGGUAAGUGGAAUUCCUGGUGUAGCGGUGGAAUGCGUAGAUAUCAGGAGGAAUACCGGUGGCGAAGGCGACUUACUGGACUUAAACUGACGCUCAGGCACGAAAGCGUGGGGAGCAAACAGG